UGCUGCUGUCUCAUGAAAUACGAGCAACUGUCAUUGAUCAUGUCAUAAACAGAGGCUGACAAUGAAAGCAGCUGGGUUGAUAGUUCAACAAAACCUGGGACGCUCCACGGUUGCCUCUAUCAUUCGUACAUUUCGUACUGAGAAUUGAAUUGAAAGGAAAUCGAAUAGUGGUGGCUGUGGUCGUCUUCUCACUGAACUGCAAGAGUCGACAAUAGAUGAGAUAGUCCGUGCCCGUGCCUUCAUGAAAUACAGAGCAGGAUUGAUGAUGACGAUGAUGUAUUUCAUGGUGUGAACAAUGUCAGCUUGUCAACCAUUGACCGUGUUCUGAAGAGACACCAGGUUCGAAUUAAACAAAUCUAUGUGGUACCUUUUGAAAGGAACAGUGAAGGAAUAACGGUACCAAUAUGUACAAAGAAUGAUGGAGUUUGAUGCCAGCAUGUCUCCACAUGAAUACAUCUUCGUUGAUGAAGUAGGCUUCAACUUGGCAAAAUGACAUAGACGUGGCUGAAACAUAAUUGGACAGCAUGCCACUGUGGAUGUGCCUGGGCAGCAUGGAGGUAACAUCAACAUGUGUGCUGCCAUCUGCCAGCAUGGAGUUGUUUGCCGCAGUCCAUUGCUUGGCGCAUACAAUACAGGGUGGCUGCUAGUUUCACCUUGUCCCACCCAAUGCAGCAAUGUUGAAAGAUAGAGAGACCACAACGUUUGUCAUCAUUUGGGACAAUGUGCGUUUCCAUCAUGCUGUGCUGGUGCGGGAGUCGUUGUGAUGUACCUUCCACCAUAUUCCCCUUUUCUGAAUCCUAUCGAGGAGUUUUUUUCUCAUCCAGGAGGUGGAAGGUGUAUCCACACGGAUGAGGCUUGUAAUGACAUUAUGGCAGAAGAUUGCCAAGCCUGGAUCCGUCACGCCAGACGAUUCUUUCCAAGGUGCUUAGCCAGACAGAACAUUCGCUGUUAUGUGGAUGAAAAUAUGUGGCCGGAUAGGAAUGAACGACUCGAUGUUCAAUAAACAUACAUGUAUAUUACCUGUGUAUAUACUGUUACUGUAAUGAAUCAGUGGCAGGAGGCUGUGUGGUCCAGUGGUUAAAGAAAGGGGCUUGUAACCAGGAGGUCCCCUGUUCAAAUCCCACCUCAGUCACGGACUCAUUGUGUGUCCCUGAGCAAGUCACUUAACCUCCUUGUGCUCUGUCUUUCAGGUGAGACAUAAUUGUAAGUGACUCUGCAGCUGAUACAUAGUUCACACACCCUAGUCUCUGUAAGUCGCCUUGGAUAAAGGUGUCUGCUAAAUAAACAAAUAAUAAUUUUGUAAAUAGUACUGUGUAUUGUGCCAAUCAAAUAUGACCAAUGCAUUCUAAAUUUACUAUACAUUUCUUUAAUGUUUUGAUUUUGUGAGUUUUGUAAUUGGGUGAAAUAUUUGGAUUAAAUAGAGGUAUUUUCUUUUGCUUGAAUACUUAAAUAAAAGCUGUCAUUUCUUGAUUUGGUGCAAGGACUUGGUUAUGCAAGAUGUAUAAUAACAUUUGGCAUGGAAACUAAGUUUUUGCCACUGUGUGAAGCUGCUUCUAAUUGAGUAGAUGGUUUUGGUGUUUGUGUUGACUGUUUUGAGAAAUGUGCAAAUAGUUUCUGGAAUUUUGUUUUAGCUAUUGAGAAACUGUAAAUAACAGUAUACACAAUACAAAAACAGCAAUUUUAAAGUUGCAUUAAAACCUACUAAGAUAAAGCCAUUUUAUAAAAGUGUGUUUUUAGUCUUAACUUAAAAAGGUAAUGGUCCCAGCUUCCCUGACAAACAAAGGCAGAGCAUUCCAUAAUUCCAUAGCAAAAUCUUAAAAUCAUUUCUAUACUACACAGGGAGCCAGUGUAAAUAGGCCAAAACCAGGGUAAUACGUUCACUUUUCCUGGUUAUAGUCCUCUAUAAUUCUAGCAAGCAGGAUACCAGACGUUUUGGGAUACCAGAAAAAAGUGCAUUACAAUGCAUUACAAUGAUCAAUUUUGGAUGAAACAAAGGCAUGCAUUAGUCUCUCUACAUCAGAUACGGAAAUAAUUAGUCUAAUUCAGUGUGGAGUAGUGGUUAGGGCUCUGGGCUCUGGACUCUUGACCGGAGGGUCAUGGGUUCAAUCCCCGGUCGCGGACACUGCUGUUGUACCUUUGAGCAAGGUACUUUACCUAGAUUGCGCCAGUAAAAAAAAAAAAAAACUGUAUAAAUGGGUAAUUGUAUGUAAAAAUAAUGUGUUAUCUUGUAACAAUUGUAAGUCGCCCUGGAUAAGGGCGUCUGCUAAGAAAUAAAUAUUUGGUCUAAUUAUCACUUUUUUACAUUUGUUAAUGCUAAAACUUUAUACGCAUUGAUUUAUUCAUUUUGUCAUAAUGUAACAAUCUU